rnacentral:rRNA from 1 species
CAGAAUUCUCCCUUGGUAUCCAGACUUUGAUUAUGGCAUCGGGAUGAACGCUGGCGGCGUGCCUAAUACAUGCAAGUCGAACGCGAGCACUUGUGCUCGAGUGGCGAACGGGUGAGUAAUACAUAAGUAACCUGCCCUAAGACAGGGGGAUAACUUAUUGGAAUCGAUAGCUAAGACCGCCAUCAGGUACGGACACUGCAUGGGUGACCGUAUUAAAAGUGCCUUAAAGCACUGGUAGAGGAUGGGACUUAUGGCGCAUUAGCUGGUUGGCGGGGGUAACGGCCCCACCAAGGCGACGAUGCGUAGCCGACCUGAGAGGGGUGACCGGCCACACUGGGACUGAGGACACGGCCCAGACUCCUACGGGAGGCAGCAGUAGGGAAUUUUCGGCAAUGGGGGAAACCCUGACCGAGCAACGCCGCGUGAAGGAAGAAGGUUUUCGGAUUGUAAACUUCUGUUAUAAAGGAAGAACGGCGGCUACAGGAAAUGGUAGCCGAGUGACGGUACUUUAUUAGAAAGCCACGGCUAACUACGUGCCAGCAGCCGCGGUAAUACGUAGGUGGCAAGCGUUAUCCCGGAAUUAUUGGGCGUAAAGAGGGAGCAGGCGGCAGCAAGGGUCUGUGGUGAAAGCCUGAAGCUUAACUUCAGUAAGCCAUAGAAACCAGGCAGCUAGAGGUGCAGGAGAGGAUCGUGGAAUUCCAUGUGGUUAGCGGUUGAAAUGCGUAGAAUAUAUGGAGGAACACCAGUGGCGAAGGCGACGAUUCUGGCCUGCAACUGACGCUCAGUCCCGAAAGCGUGGGGGAGCAAAUAGGAAUAUAGAUACCCUUAUGUAUGUCCACGCCGUAAACCAGAUGAGAUACUAAGUGUUGGAUGUCAAAGUUCAGUGCUCUGCAGAUUAACGCAAUAAGUAUCUCCGCCUGAGUAGUGAACUCGUUCUGCAAGAUAGUGCACACUUCAACAGGAAUUGACGGAAGGGCGAACUGGCGGC